rnacentral:tRNA from 1 species
GGGAAUGUGGCUUAGUGGUAGAGUGCUUGUCUAGCAAGCAUGGAGCCCUGGGUUUGAUUCCUCAGCACCA